rnacentral:rRNA from 1 species
GCUUAUAGCCGUACCACCCUGAACACAUUCAAUCUCAUCUGACUCUCGGAAGCUAAGCAAGGUCGGACCUGGUUGGAAAGGGGACCAUCUGGGAAUACCAGGUGUUGUCUCGGGUGGCUGUAGAGCA